rnacentral:rRNA from 1 species
GUAGGUGGCAAGCGUUGUCCGGAAUUAUUGGGCGUAAAGCGCGCGCAGGUGGUUCUUUAAGUCUGAUGUGAAAGCCCCCGGCUCAACCGGGGAGGGUCAUUGGAAACUGGGGAACUUGAGUGCAGGAGAGGAAAGUGGAAUUCCACGUGUAGCGGUGAAAUGCGUAGAUAUGUGGAGGAACACCAGUGGCGAAGGCGACUUUCUGGCCUGUAACUGACACUGAGGCGCGAAAGCGUGGGGAGCAAACAGGGAUUAGAUACCCUGGUAGUCCACGCCGUAAACGAUGAGUGCUAAGUGUUGGGGGGGUUUCCCGCCCCUCAGUGCUGCAGCUAACGCAUUAAGCACUCCGCAUGGGAGUACGGUCGCAAGACUG